AAAAGACGGUCGAAUCAUUCAUCUAAACAUUUCAAGCCUCGAUCCGUAUCUCUGCCUGCUCCUUUAAGGUGGCGUAUAACAGCCUGCAGCCUAUGGACGGCCUCUACUGU